UCUGUAGCCUAUGAUUAGGACAGAAUUCUUACGCAUUUUGUGCUGGUUGAUUUCACAAGGUGCCACGGGGUUAGACAAAAGGAGCAGAUCUUCAGUGUGUGUCCUCAGCCAGAUGCUGGAACAACUGGAAGGAUCGCAGGUUACUGACAAGAUAAUGAGUUGCCAAGGAUGUUCAUGAGCAGAAAGCAAGUGAGACCUGCAUCAACCUAUUGCAGCUGGUGCCAGGUGAGAUCUGGAGGCCCUUUAAAG
ensembl:lincRNA